UUCCUCACUAUGUAGAUAUACAGUGGUCCCUCGUUUAUUGCAGGAGUUACGUUCUAAAAAUAACUCGCGAUAAGUGAAAUCCGAGAAGUAGUCAGUGCUGUUUUUUGCAAUUAUUAUAGAUGUUUUAAGCUGUAAACCCCUCACUACACACUUUAUACACUUUUCUCAAACAGGCAUUAACAU